UACGUAGGGUGCGAGCGUUGUCCGGAAUUACUGGGCGUAAAGAGCUCGUAGGUGGUUUGUCGCGUUGUUCGUGAAAACUCACAGCUUAACUGUGGGCGUGCGGGCGAUACGGGCAGACUGGAGUACUGCAGGGGAGACUGGAAUUCCUGGUGUAGCGGUGGAAUGCGCAGAUAUCAGGAGGAACACCGGUGGCGAAGGCGGGUCUCUGGGCCGAUACUGACGCUGGAGACGCGAAAGCGUGGGGAGCGAACAGG
rnacentral:rRNA from 1 species